rnacentral:rRNA from 1 species
UACAGAGGUCUCAAGCGUUGUUCGGAUUCAUUGGGCGUAAAGGGUGCGUAGGUGGCGCCGUAAGUCAGGUGUGAAAUUUCGGAGCUUAACUCCGAAACUGCAUUUGAUACUGCGGUGCUUGAGGACUGGAGAGGAGACUGGAAUUUACGGUGUAGCAGUGAAAUGCGUAGAGAUCGAUAAGGAAGACCAGUGGCGGAAGGCGGGUCUCUGGACAGUUCC